rnacentral:misc_RNA from 1 species
GGAUCUCUUGCACGAAGAGCAAUCAAGGAUUUGAUGGCUAGAGGUCUCAUCAGAAUGGUCUCUGCUCAUGCCAGCCAGGAGAUCUACACAAGGGCCACCAAUACCUAAUUUCCCUUUAUUAUUAUCUUUUGAGUUGCCAUGAAUUAGCCUCCUUACUCUAGUUUUUGCUUUUUGGUUUCAAUGUCUCCUUCACAUGGAUGCUAAAGUUUUGCAAUUUUUGACUUGUCAUAUCUUUCUUGUUAAUCCCUAUUUUUAUAUUAAGUUUCCAGACAUUUCAAAUUUAG